GGAGGGUGCAAGCGUUAAUCGGAAUUACUGGGCGUAAAGCGCGCGUAGGCGGUUUGGUCAGUCGGAUGUGAAAGCCCUGGGCUCAACCUGGGAAUGGCAUUCGAUACUGCCUGACUAGAGUAUGGUAGAGGGAAGUGGAAUUUCCGGUGUAGCGGUGAAAUGCGUAGAUAUCGGAAGGAACACCAGUGGCGAAGGCGGCUUCCUGGGCCAAUACUGACGCUGAGGUGCGAAAGCGUGGGGAGCAAACAGGGAUUAGAUACCCUGGUAGUCCACGCCGUAAACGAUGAGAACUAGAUGUCGGGAGGGUUGCCUUUCGGUGUCGCAGCUAACGCGUUAAGUUCUCCGCCUGGGGAGUACGCCCGGCAACGGUA
rnacentral:rRNA from 1 species